CGCGGUCCGAUUGAUCCACACGGGCGGGCAAGGUUCACAACAAAUAAUAAAUGGCAAGGAAAAACGUAAAAAAUCUCGAUUUUGCUCUGGGCGGGGAGGGGUUAAUUGCGUUAAAUAGUGAAUAAACUAAUGAGUUCUCUCCUGAUUUGCGCGCAGAGACUUUGGCCAAUUUCCUGAUGGGGGAGGGCAAGCUGGAGAGUUAGCUAGAUGAGCAACCGCUCAUCGAAGACAACUUUCACAAAACGAAGCUGGGGCUGACAAACGCGAAGCGGUACCUCAACUGGACGCGCACCUGCUACUGGUGAAGCUGUUCUACGCAUGUGGCCAGUACGACGAGUCGCUGCAGAGCUACGUGCUGGCGGAGCUGAACACGCUGUCGGAGAAUCACCUAUCGCCAAGAUACGUGGCCCGUCAUCUGGUAGAAGCGUUGCUGCGGCUUGGGCCGCAGAAAGCCUGGAUGAUUCAGUUUAAAAUCUGGCUGCUGCUAGCUGACGAGUAACCCAACGAAGCCAUCAACUGCAUUCAGGAGGCUAGCCUGACACGACGCUGCGUCCAGCUGGACCCAAAUGACUAGUCCGCGUUCAACUACAACAUUUCCGAAGCCCUGAACCUUUUUCACGUGAAAAGCAAAAGAUGGUGUAUCUGGCCAACAGUGACACAGAGCACGACCACGAAAAGCACUUUCACGUGCUGCAGAUGCAGUUAUGUGCGAGAAUUCCUGCAAUGAUUUUAACUCGUUUCAUGCGAUUCGGAUGUCGCGUCCCGCAUCGAGCACGCACGAGCAUCCAUAAAAAUCACAUCUACCAGCAGCAGUGAGCCUUGGCGAAACAGUGCAUCUUGAAGCCGGCUCGGCAAAUCCGUACAACACGAAUGGGCGGAUCGAUUUGGUUCCUGCUCGGUCGGGUCAUGUAAGCUUCGCCUGAUUUUCUGACUCGAACCACGCGAGUCGCCGGUCACUGCCCAAAUCAAGCACGCCCUUAGCGAAACCGGCCCACCUGGCCCACCUGGGUUCCCUCCGUCAAGGUCCACGACGACUCUGUUCGCAGCCCAGGGAGCACGUCGAAUAUCAACCUACCAACUGCGCCAGUCAAUCUUCAUGAGCUACUUGGGCUUUUGGAAUAUCUGCUGAACCACAUUGUCCGCUGCAAGGAACAAUCGAUCAAUCUAUACUCACCGCCGGCAACGCAAGGUAUCAAAAUGCGAAACAUGAAACAUCAAAUUUGAGACAGAAUAGGAAAAACAACAUUUGUUACAAAGCGCGUCAAGCAAAAUGUGAAUUAAAAAAACAACUAACAUUUACAUUUAAGAGAAAAUCUGAAAGUAUGACCCUACUACAAUCAAUUUUGCAAAUUUGUCUAUGGUUUUGACAACAUGCUAAGGCGGCUCAUUCUGAGACAAGCCUUCCAUCCAGGGUGCGGUCGGUAUGGGCCAACAUAGAAAACUGGCCAUUUCGUUUACGAAAAGAUUCGUUUAUUUGAUGGGAUUUGGCUCAAAGAACUUUCCAACCUGUAUUUCAUAACGUUAGAUCACGUUUAUAAAGUUAGUCCAAUCAAAUCAAAAACAUGCUAACAGUCUAAUGUUUCAUUGAACGAGAUUUGUGAAAUCGCCAGAAGUUUAAAAACAUUUUUGUAG
rnacentral:lncRNA from 1 species